rnacentral:rRNA from 1 species
AUUGAACGCUGGCGGCAUGCCUUACACAUGCAAGUCGAACGGCAGCACGGGAGCAAUCCUGGUGGCGAGUGGCGAACGGGUGAGUAAAGUAUCGGAACGCGCCCAGUCGUGGGGGAUAACGUAGCGAAAGUUACGCUAAUACCGCAUACGAUCUAUGGAUGAAAGCGGGGGAUCGCAAGACCUCGCGCGAUUGGAGCGGCCGAUAUCAGAUUAGGUAGUUGGUGGGGUAAAGGCUCACCAAGCCGACGAUCUGUAGCUGGUCUGAGAGGACGACCAGCCAGACUGGGACUGAGACACGGCCCAGACUCCUACGGGAGGCAGCAGUGGGGAAUUUUGGACAAUGGGCGAAAGCCUGAUCCAGCCAUGCCGCGUGCAGGAUGAAGGCCUUCGGGUUGUAAACUGCUUUUGUACGGAACGAAAUGGUCUGGCUUAAUACGCUGAACUCAUGACGGUACCGUAAGAAUAAGCACCGGCUAACUACGUGCCAGCAGCCGCGGUAA